UUAUUUAAACAAAUUUUGAAGCUAUCCCUUUUCUAUUUAUUUAUAUUUGCAAUACUUACAUAUAUUAUUGUAUAGAUAGCAGGUGAAAAGAGGGGUAAGAAAACAAAGAAGGCUAAGGAGACGGGGGUUCCCCGGAGACCACCAGAAAACCUUGCGAUUAGAGAUAGAAGCCCGUCGCCACGUCUCCCACCACGUGGCGCUCCAUUGCCUCAUGAUCCCCUCAUGAAUGGCAUUGCAUAUAGUCUUCCACCUCCAUACAGCUUUGGUCGGCCCUAUAUGGCUCCACGCCAGGGCUUUACUGAGGUGCCUCCCUAGAGCCCCUCGAUGAUGUCCACACCAGGUUAUGCUACCCUACAGGCCUUCACUCGGUAUACUCCCGGGUCUCAGCGGGCUUCGUUUAGUGGUACUUCGACGGCCACUCCCAGCCCAACUGCAUCACAUCACUCUUCAUCAUCUACUGAACAGUACGAGAUUACGGGUCCUGACCUUCGAGAAAGUAGUUAUAUGCCUCACACUCCUACUGCGAAUGACUUACUUGAAUGUUUGGUUACUGGACAAAGCUUCAACUCUCCUUACCGAUGAGAUACAAAAACUAUUUAAAAACUCACCUACUUGGGGCCAGAUGUCACCAAAUCACCAAGACAGAUCUAUUAUGCCUUUAAGGAAAAAUGUGUCUGGCGCCCGGAACAUGAGAAGCAGCUAACUCAAAACUUCAAGAAGAAAGCUCAGCGCUUACUAUGUGACAUGUUAGGAAGGGUUCGUCAAUCUCACAAGAAGCCUAAGUGUAUCCUUCCUGAAAACUAUAACAAGCUACUUCAUUACUGGGCAACUAAUGAAAGAUUCUUACAACUGAGUGACAUAGGGAAGAAGGCUAGAAAUUCGACGAAGAGUGGCUCCCUACACACUAGUGGGGCUAUGAGUCAAGAGGUCGUGAGGAGGAAGCUGGCAAGUCUACAUUAACUCUAUUUGAAGGAUUGUGAAUUUACUUUAUUUUCUUUAUGUCUUAUCAAUUUAUUCUUUUGCAGGAACUAAAACGGGGGACGCCAGUGCCUCAAGAUGAGGCGUUCAAUAUCACUCACGUGAAGAAGAAGGCAAACGCUAAUGAUCCAGAUAACUAGUGUGAGGAACCGGCUAAGCAGACCUACAAUCAAUAUCAACAUUUAAAAGGCGGAGUUUCUUCGUACUCAGCCACCCAACACACAGCUGACAGAAGAACAAAUGGAGAAAAGGUGGCUUGAGAGUGUUGGUGGUCCCACUAGGUUUGGCACAGCUUACGGAAUGCCAUAUCGUGCAUUUCGUCAAUACCGAUCGCCCUCUGGAAUGCAUACAUUCUUCCAAUACCGAGUCGUUCGAUAGAGUGAGUGCUAUGGCCAUGGAGCAAAAGAUUGCUGAGCUAUGUAGCCAGCUACAGGCCUCGGAGGAAAGGGAGAGGCGGAGGGACAUGCAAUUUGACGGUAUGAGGGCCCAAUUAGACGCAUUACUUGCUUCGAGGGGCAUUCCCUCGUGUCCUAAUGAUGCUCGUAACCCCCAUACUCAAUCUAGUGGUGCGGAUGAUGAUGAGACUCACGUGCCAAACACACAAAGGCAUGUUUGAAUGUUAAUGUUUUGGUGGAUUUGUGGAUUGUGUAAGUGUUUUGUGGAUGUUUGCGAGGGUGAAGUAGUCUAAUGUUGUAGACUAACUUAGUGUAGACUAGUUUAAUGUUUUGUGGAUGUUUACAAAUGUUGAAGUAGUUUAAUGUUGUUUUGAUGUUUGCGAAGGUUGAAGUAGCUUAAUGUCUCUUGUGAAUGUUUGAUUGACGUUUUUAUUCAACUUUGAAGUAGUUUCGAAUUGAAUUUGAUGUAUUGGUGGUUGUAAUAUAUGUGUUGUAAUAGUAGCUUAAUGUUUUAUGUA